AGAGUUUGAUUAUGGCUCAGGAUGAACGCUAGCUACAGGCUUAACACAUGCAAGUCGAGGGGUAGCAGGGUAGCAAUACCGCUGACGACCGGCGCACGGGUGAGUAACACGUAUCCAACCUUCCCAUAACUCAGGGAUAGCCUUUCGAAAGAAAGAUUAAUACCUGAUAGUACUUUUUCAAGGCAUCUUGAGAAAGUUAAAGAUUUAUUGGUUAUGGAUGGGGAUGCGUUCCAUUAGAUAGUUGGUGAGGUAACGGCUCACCAAGUCUUCGAUGGAUAGGGGUUCUGAGAGGAAGGUCCCCACAUUGGUACUGAGACACGGACCAAACUCCUACGGGAGGCAGCAGUGAGGAAUAUUGGUCAAUGGGCGAGAGCCUGAACCAGCCAAGUAGCGUGAAGGAUGAAGGUCCUAUGGAUUGUAAACUUCUUUUAUAGUAGAAUAAAGUGAUCCACGUGUGGAUUUUGUAUGUAUACUAUGAAUAAGGAUCGGCUAACUCCGUGCCAGCCGCUGC
rnacentral:rRNA from 1 species